UAAUCAAUUGUCUUAUAAUUGAAGACUGGUAUGAAUGGUUAAACGAAAUUAGAGCUGUCUUGUUUAUAUUGAUUAGAAAUUGGCUUUUAAAUGAAGAGAUUUAAAUUUGAUUGAGGGACAAGAAGACCCUAUUGAGCUUUAAAUGAUUUUGAAGGUAAAAAGUUAUUAUUGGAGAUUUAGGUCUUAGAUAUUUUUUAGUUGGGGCGACUGAGGAACAAAUGAAGCUUCCUUUAUGUAAGUGAUUGGUAAGUUUUGAUCCAGUAUAACUGAUUAAGAGAGAUAGUUACCAUAGGGAUAACAGCAUAAUCUUCUUAGAGAGUUCGUAUCAAAAAGGAGGGUUGUGACCUCGAUGUUGGACUAAAAUAUCCUAAAGGGUGUAGAAAGGCUUUUGAGGGUUGGUCUGUUCGACCAUUAAAAUUUUACGUGAUCUGA
rnacentral:rRNA from 1 species